rnacentral:rRNA from 1 species
CGGUAAUUCCAGCUCCAAUAGCGUAUAUUAAAGUUGUUGCAGUUAAAAAGCUCGUAGUCGAUCUUCUAAGAGUGCAGCUUGGGACUUCAAUCCUGAGAGUGCGCUCUUAUCUGACCGAGACCUUCGUUCGUGCUUCACUGUUACGAUGGAGUAAAUCGGUCACUUUACUGAGAAAAAAUUAGAGUGUUCAAAGCAGGCACUGAGCCUUGAAUACACAAGCUUGGAAUAAUAGAAUAUGACUAAAGUCUUUUUGUUGGUUUUAAGACUUUGGUAAUGAUUAAUAGAAACAGUUGGGGGCAUUAGUAUCUAAUUGUCAGAGGUGGAAUUCUUGGAUUUAUUAGAGACUAACCUAUGCGAAAGCAUUUGCCAAGGAUGUUUUCAGUUGAUCAAGAACGAAAGUUAGGGGAUCAAAGACGAUCAGAUACCGUCCUAGUCUUAACUAUAAACGAUUCCGACUAUGGAUUGGGAGAGCACUUUAACUCUCUCAGCACAUUAUGAGAAAUCAUAAGUCUUUGGGUUCCGGGGGAAGUAUGGACACAAGUCUGAAACUUAAAGGAAUUGACGGAAGGGCACACAAGGAGUGGAGCCUGCGGCUUAAUUUGACUCGACACGGGAAAACUUACCAGGGCAAGACAUAGGUGGGAUUGACAGAAAUGAGAGCUCUUUCUUGAUUCUAUGGGUGGUGGUGCAUGGCCGUUCUUAGUUGGUGGAGUGAUUUGUCUGGUUAAUUCCGUUAACGAACGAGACCUUAACCUGCUAAAUAGGAGCUUGGAUUUCUCAUCCAGUAUCCUUCUUAGAGGGACUAUGUGCAAAACACAUGGAAGUUUGAGGCAAUAACAGGUCUGUGAUGCCCCUAGACGUCCUGGGCCGCACGUGCGCUACAAUGACACAAGCAACAAGUAUCUCCUGCUCUGACAAGAGAUCGGGUAAUCUUUAUAGUUUGUGUCGUGCUUGGGAUUGUCCUUUGUAAUUAUAGGACAUGAACUAGGAAUUCCUAGUAUAGGUAUGUCAUCAGCAUGCCUAGAUUAAGUCCCUGCCCUUUGUACACACCGCCCGUCGCUCCUACCGAUUGAGAGAUUCAGUGAACCUUCUGGAGUUUGAGUAGACCUCGUGUCUUCUCUGCGAAGUUAAGUAAACUAUUAUCUCUUAGAGGAAGGAGAAGUCGUAACAAGG